GAUGAACGCUGGCGGCGUGCCUAAUACAUGCAAGUCGAGCGAACAGACGAGGAGCUUGCUCCUCUGACGUUAGCGGCGGACGGGUGAGUAACACGUGGAUAACCUACCUAUAAGACUGGGAUAACUUCGGGAAACCGGAGCUAAUACCGGAUAAUAUAUUGAACCGCAUGGUUCAAUAGUGAAAGACGGUUUUGCUGUAACUUAUAGAUGGAUCCGCGCCGCAUUAGCUAGUUGGUAAGGUAACGGCUUACCAAGGCGACGAUGCGUAGCCGACCUGAGAGGGUGAUCGGCCACACUGGAACUGAGACACGGUCCAGACUCCUACGGGAGGCAGCAGUAGGGAAUCUUCCGCAAUGGGCGAAAGCCUGACGGAGCAACGCCGCGUGAGUGAUGAAGGUCUUCGGAUCGUAAAACUCUGUUAUUAGGGAAGAACAAAUGUGUAAGUAACUAUGCACGUCUUGACGGUACCUAAUCAGAAAGCCACGGCUAACUACGUG
rnacentral:rRNA from 1 species